rnacentral:rRNA from 1 species
AGCAGCCGCGGUAAUUCCAGCUCCAAUAGCGUAUAUUAAAGUUGUUGCAGUUAAAAAGCUCGUAGUUGAAUUUCGGGGUUAGCAGGUCGGUCGUGCCAUUGGUAUGAACUGGUCUCGCUGAUCCCUCCCUCUUGACGAACUGUGAUGCCAUUAAUUUGGUGUCGCAGGGAAUCAGGACUGUUACUUUGAAAAAAUUAGAGUGUUUAAAGCAGGCUCACGCUUGAAUACAUUAGCAUGGAAUAAUGAAAUAGGACGUUUGAUCCUAUUUUGUUGGCUUCUAGGAUUGACGUAAUGAUUAAUAGGGAUAGUUGGGGGCAUUAGUAUUCAAUUGUCAGAGGUGAAAUUCUUGGAUUUAUUGAAGACUAACUACUGCGAAAGCAUUUGCCAAGGAUGUUUUCAUUAAUCAAGAACGAAAGUUAGGGGAUCGAAGACGAUCAGAUACCGUCGUAGUCUUAACCAUAAACUA